GAUGAACGCUGGCGGCGUGCUUAACACAUGCAAGUCGAACGGAACUACUCCAAUGAGAGUCUUCGGAAAGGAUUUGGUUUAGUUUAGUGGCGGACGGGUGAGUAACGCGUGGGUAACCUGCCCUAUACAGGGGGAUAACAGUUGGAAACGACUGUUAAUACCGCAUAAGCGCACAGGAGCGCAUGCUCCGGUGUGAAAAACUCCGGUGGUAUAGGAUGGACCCGCGUCUGAUUAGCUGGUUGGCGGGGUAACGGCCCACCAAGGCGACGAUCAGUAGCCGGGCUGAGAGGGUGAACGGCCAGAUUGGGACUGAGACACGGCCCAAACUCCUACGGGAGGCAGCAGUGGGGAAUAUUGCACAAUGGGGGAAACCCUGAUGCAGCGACGCCGCGUGAGCGAAGAAGUAUCUCGGUAUGUAAAGCUCUAUCAGCAGGGAAGAAAAUGACGGUACCUGACUAAGAAGCCCCGGCUAACUACGUG
rnacentral:rRNA from 1 species